AGAGUUUGAUUAUGGCUCAGGAUGAACGCUGGCGGCGUGCUUAACACAUGCAAGUCGAACGGUAAGGUCCCCUUCGGGGGACACACGAGUGGCGAACGGGUGAGUAACACGUGGGCAACCUGCCCCUCACAUCGGGAUAACCACCGGAAACGGUGGCUAAUACCGGAUACUCCGGCGAGAUCGCAUGGUCUUGCCGGGAAAGCUCCGGCGGUGAGGGAUGGGCCCGCGGCCCAUUAGCUUGUUGGUGGGGUAAUGGCCUACCAAGGCGACGAUGGGUAGCCGAGCUGAGAGGCUGAUCGGCCACACUGGGACUGAGACACGGCCCAGACUCCUACGGGAGGCAGCAGUGGGGAAUCUUGCGCAAUGGGCGAAAGCCUGACGCAGCAACGCCGCGUGCGGGAUGAAGGCCUUCGGGUUGUAAACCGCUUUCAGCAGGGAUGAAACUGACAGUACCUGCAGAAGAAGCCCCGGCUAACUACGUGCCAGCAGCCGCGGUAAUACGUAGGGGGCGAGCGUUAUCCGGAUUCAUUGGGCGUAAAGCGCGCGUAGGCGGCUUGCUAAGUCAGAUGUGAAAACCGGGGGCUCAACCCGCGGCCUGCAUCUGAAACUGGCAGGCUUGAGUCUGGUAGAGGAAAGUGGAAUUCCUGGUGUAGCGGUGAUAUGCGCAGAUAUCAGGAGGAACACCAGUGGCGAAGGCGGCUUUCUGGGCCACGACUGACGCUGAGGCGCGAAGGCUAGGGGAGCAAACAGGAUUAGAUACCCUGGUAGUC
rnacentral:rRNA from 1 species